CUAGUACUCAUCAGGAGGCAGAGUCAAGGUAUUUGUAAAGCCAAAGCCAAAUGAAUCUCUUGGCUCUGCUUAAUUCCUUUCUAGGACUUAUUUUGGGAAAUACAAGGCCUGAUAACAUUGGAUUAAGGAUGUGGACAGUGGGAGGUGGUGGCACAGCCAGCUUUUGCCACUGGAUGUAUUCUGAGGUCUGAUGGCUGCUGCAGAAAACUCUGGCUCUGCCAAUUGCCCCAAAGCUCUGCUGAUUCAUAGGAAUUGCUUCCUUUAGACCUUCAGGGGAGAAAUUCACGAAGAGAGAGAGAGGGGAAAAAACCAAACCACCCCAGGUCCUUCCUAACUAUGAAAUCUGGCAAGCCUACCAUGUUUUUCUAUGUGCUAGACUAUCUCACAGCACCACUUUAAAGGAGCACUUCACUAAUUAGGAGGAAGAUUGUGAAAUUUUGCUACAGAAGGUUAUCUUGAAGUGAGAUUUUUUUUACAUGGGCGAGGUUAUCUUCACAUGAGCUAUUUUUCCCAUUAAAAUGUGCUCAGUUCUGUCUGAAUGGCAAGCAUCCAUGUACCUCAGUUUGCCAAAGUUUGAGUUGGUAUUUGUGGACAUGUCUCACAUGAUGUCACUGUAAUCAGGAUUGCUGCUCUGACCCUCACUUGCAAAGAUGAAUUGUCCUGAAGCUUUUGUUUAGCAUCAAUGAUGGCAGCCCUCAAAAAAACACAUGAGGAAAUUAGUGAUAAUUUUUCAAACUAGGGUUUGAAUCAUUUUUAGUAAAUAAGACAUUGGGUUAAACAUCCAACAUUAAUUAAAUGUAGCAUAAAUGUUAAUCAAAUGUGCACCAUGAAGCUGAUGUAUUUACAAAGGAAUUGUGGAAAAAAUUUUUGAAGGAAUGGGCUCUUCUAACUCUUGCAUAUCCUAAAGAAUGAGCCCUCCUAAUUCUUCAGCAUUUCCUAAAGGCUGAAUGAGUAAGUGACUUUGCAACCAUAAUAAUAUUCUUUGAUGAAACAGCUCCCUGGACGGAUGAGAGGUAGCAGUGGAUAUUGUCUACCUUGAGUUCAGCAAGGAUUUCAUCACUGUCUCUCACAAGAUCCUCAUAGGCAAACUCAGGAAGUGUGGACUGGAUGAGUGGGCAGUGAGGUGGGUUAAAAACUGGCUGAACAGCAGAUCCCAGCGGGUUAUAGUCAGAGACACAGGGUCUUGUUGGAGGCCUGCCACUAUCAGUUCCCCUCCAAGGUUCACCACUGGGACCAGGUUUGUUUAACUUGCUCAUCAAUGACUUGUAUGAAGGGACGGAUGUCUUCUCAGCAAGCCUACUGACAAUACAGAGCUGGGAGGUGUGGCCAAUACUCCAGAGGGCUGUGCAGCCCUUCAGAAGGGCCUUGACAGGUUGGAGACAUGCACAAAGAAGAACAAUAUGAAGUUCAGUAAAGGCAAAUGCAGGGUCCUGAACCUGGUGAAGAAUAACCCCAGGCACCACGACAGGCUGGGGCCAGCUUGCUGGAAAGCAGCUCUGCAGACAAUAACCUGGGGGUUGUGGUGGGCAACAAGGUGUCUAUGAGCCAGCAGGGUUCUUCAAGAAGAGCAUUGCCAUGAGGUUGAGGGAGCUGAUCCUGCCCCUCUACUCAACCCUGGUGAGGCCACAUCUGGAAUUCUGUGUCCAGUUCUGGGCUCCUCAGUACAGGAGCUCCUGGAAUAGGUCCAGUGGAGGGUGACAAAGAUGAUGAAGGGACAGGAGGAUAUCUCUUAUGGGUAAAGGCUGAGGAAGAUGUACUUGUUCAGCUUUGAGAAAAGAUGACUGAGAGGGGGAUCUCGUCAAUGUUUCUAAGUAUUGAAGGGUGGAGCCAGGCUCUGCUUGGUGCUGCCAAGCAAUAGGACCGAAGAGAAUGGGCAGAGACUGAUGCACAGGAAGUUCCAUCUGAAUGUGAGGAUGAACUUCUCUACUUUGUGGAUGACCGUGCAAUGGAAGAGAUUGCCCAAAGAGGUUGUGAAGCUUCCCUCAGUGGGGAUUCAAGAAACUCCUGGACACAAUCCUGUGCCAUGUGCUCUAGGAUGACCCUGCUUAAGCAGCAAGGUUGGACCAGAUGACUCACUGUGGUCCCUUCCAACCCUACCCGUUGGGUGAUUCUGUGAUUCUUUAAAUUAAAAAUGUAUGUGCAAUAUUAAAAUAUCUUAAAAACAAGGUUUUUAAAGUUCAUUGUAAUUAUAGUGUGUGUAUAUAAUCUUUAGAAACAGAAGUUUGAGACUGUGAUUCUGUGAUAUUUGUGCUAAGUGAAAUAUCCUCUGUUAUUAUCAAGCAUAAGCUUAAAAUCAUUGUAAUUUAUCUAUAAGCCCAUGACACACCAAGUUUGGCAUAUCUCCUUUUUCUUCAGUAUAAGCUUGGAUAUUUAUCAACACAACAGACUUGGCUAGAGGAAGUAAAUUUAGGUUAAAAUACAGAUCUCUAAUCUAUGUUUAGUCUUUACAUUUGCAGUGAGAUGAUAUAAUCACUGACUUUAAAAAUGGCAAUAUUUGAAUUAAAAAUUAAUGGAAUUAAUUCUUAAUUAUUUUAUCAUGUAGGAAAAAGUUCUGCCUACUUUUCAUGUUAAUUAUCCAAUUAUUUCAUACUCAAAGUACAGAAAAGAUAACUUUUCAGUAUCACCAUUUUUCAUUAAACCUCACCUUUAACCAACUUAAGCACAAAGAAGCAAGUUCUUUGUCUUUACUAUAUUUUUUGGUUUUCAGUCUGUGUUUUGCACGUUUUCAGAUGCUGUGCUUUUCUUUCACAGGCAAUUCAAAUGACUCAAGGAGAAUUAAGUCUUUGCUUAAUGAGUAGUACAUAAGCAUGUUUUCAGAAUUGGCCCUAAGAAGUGAAUUCAAAUCAGGAAAGAUUUUUGUCAACACACUAUACAUUCUCCUGAAAUUUAAAAUAAAAUUGUCCUUAAUGGCAGAUAUACACAAAAAGAUGAAGGUAAGAUGAUAAUAUAUAAUUUAUGCUGUCUCAGUGCUUCAAGUUUGACUAAAUGAUCUUUAAUGAACCUUCCAGUCCUGUGUUUGAUGAUACUCCCACAUAAGGGGAGAAGAGAACUGAAGUGGCACAGAUGAGGUCUGCUCUCUUACUAUAAUUCUAUGGAUGCUGAAGCUUUUUUUAUAGCUAAAAGGGAACACAUCCAACCUCCUAUUCUAGUAACAGGAGUGGAGGAAAACCUGAUUAGGAGAAAAUUUUAGGAUGAUCCAAAAGUGUAUGCAUUGCUUAUUGUAUUUGCCAUAUGUAUCGAGUUCUAUUUACAUUCCAAUGUUGAAUGAAAGGACAUGAGGCUUAGAUUUACAAAGAAAGGAAUAUUUAACUGAUCGUAUGUAAUUAUUAGAAAUAAAAUAUGAAAAAUCCCAAAUUACAAGGCAUGUGUCUCUAUAGAAGCCAAGUAAAACAGAUGAAGUUAUCUGAUAAAAAGGUUGGUAGAAAGAACUCUCUCAUCCAGAUAACCAAGUAGUUUAGCCAGGAUGCCUAAAGCUCCAGGUAAAACUCUCAAAUAAUUUAAUUUAUUUCUCUUUUGCAUGAAUAAAAGGCAAAGCCAGGAGUGAUACUAAGAAAGAUAACACUGCCUUUUUAAGGCAUAUGCGUUUAUCUAUGCACUCUGCGUUGUUAACCACAUUUGAUACAUUGGCUUAAAAUCUAUUAUUUGAAGGGUUGGUUUCAAAGAAGAUUAUAAAAGAGAUGUGGAUGAGCCUUUUUGAAGGAAAAAUAUCAGCUUGUUCUUUGUUGAUAGAGGUUUCUGACUCUCUAGCUGCACACGUUGUAUAUUUUUACUGUUACUGAAUACUACUCAUCAAUAAUACUGUUUCUGACUAAAUUAAGGAAAUAUCUGAGGCAGACUAAUUUUUUGCUUUUAUCACCUUAAGAUAUGAUUAGAAUAUGUAAAAUAGAUAGGGGAAAUAAUUUCUCAUUAAUUUGUUAAAAAUAGUUGUAAUUCAAUCCUAGUGAACUCUCUCUGCAUUAAGAAACAUGUGGAUGUAAAUAAACCUCAUAUCUGGGACCUUCAAUGUUUGUUCAUAUUUAUAUACAUACAUAGUAUUUUUUUAUGUGAAACUUUUGGUCACUGUUAAUACUUCUUUCAUUUUCAAUAUCAAAUUUAUAUUUCCCCUUGCUGGGAUUUUGCAAAGCUGUAUCAGAAAAAGGGUCUAAAUCUUUGGUAUCUAGUGGAAUUAGUCCACACGGAUGACUUCUUGCAAUUGCCAAUUAACUUUUUCCCAGAGGGAAGCAGUAGCAUAAGUGUGCCCUGUCUUUGAUAAACAGGUCUGACAUACACUCUAAACACUAACUUGAGAAAUAUAUUCUGAGUGUUUCAUGAUAACAACAGAAGCUGCAUAAGACUUAGUAAGCUGAGGGAGUAGAAAAACUUCAAGGAGAGAGGAAAAAAUGAAAUAAUACCUAAAAUGCUUGAAGAUUUAGCAAUAAGUCAUAAUAAUUUGGAUUCUGGUCUGACAAAGCCUUUAUAAACUCUCCUGUGACUUUUUUAGUGUGGCGAUUUUUAUAUCACUAAGGACAGGCAAAAUGGGUUAAGUCAGUCACUGUCCACCUUGGUGUUCACCUGAAGUCCAAUCACAACUGAUUUUUUUUGUGAUUUCAUUGCAAGUUAAAUAUAGAAUAUGAGGGCAUUUUAGUAUGGUAAACAUCCACUCCCCCUUCUGCAAUUCCAGCCAGAUAAAUGCAUUAUUUUUUAUUCUUAGAAAGUACUUGAGGUGCUUGUGGUGGUCAAGAACAACCUGCUUACAUAUUCAGUAUGGUGAGUUUAGUGAGUAGGAAGGCAGUUCAAGGUAUAACUCUCUCUGGAAGCCAGGAGCUCUGGUCAUCACUUGUCCUUGUGACCCGGGAGCACAGGAGGAGUAAUUGUGAUAAUAAGUACUGGUGAUCAUGCAGAUUUCACUUAGCUGUCUGACUUGGCACUGACAUGUAGCCAGGCCUCUUUUUUUCCAUUGUGGUGUAAAUGGACAAACUGAGAGCUGGUUUAAUGAAAUAUCUAUAAUUUCAGAAAAAAACCCAAAAAAAAAACAAAA